rnacentral:lncRNA from 1 species
AAGGUUGUGCCCACUCGGCACGACCCAGGUUCCAUGCUACAGGCCUCUACUUGUCCAGACCUGAGGGUCAGAUUCAGAUGGUGCAAAUGUUUAAGACCUGGGUCUUCAACGAGAUGAAUUAUCAGCUAUUUCAUAGCUGCAGUGUUGGAUAUGCCGAGACGAUAAAAGCAACAGCAAUCAGAAUCAACAGUUGAAACGACAUGGCAGACGCUGUGAAUGCUAUGAACUGCUGUGCUGAGCAGCAGGAUUCCUGUGUCCUGGCGCAAUGCCCAUGGGGAUUCAUGCUUUCAGAGGGUCACGCCUCAGGAACACGUAGAAGGGCAAGCAUUUCAUCUGGCAGGGCACUGAUUUAAUCUGCACGCAUGUUUGGCUGUAAAACUAGCUCCUCCCCCUUACCAUUUUUGAGUCGCUGCCGGACUCAAAUUCCACAGAUUCUGGAAGGUGUCCAGGAACUCGUUGAUUUGUCAAACUUAUGGCUACACACAGCUGGAAUGGAGACGGACUCCACUGAGGAGACUCAUACAGGACAGGAGGGAAUUUUAAGAGGAUAACCCUGAGAUUGAAAACAUCAAACCAAACCUGAAGCACUGAGAGGUUGGGUAACCAGCUCUGGUCACUGAGUUGGUGAGGGAUGGAUUCAGAAGAGGUCUCCAAUUGUGACACCGCAGAGGACCUGCUCUUGGCCACUACACUCUACCAGCUCUGCAAGAAGCGCUUCCACACUUUUCAUCUCAGACCCACAGAGCCAGUGUGUGCGGCUGAGGUGCUCAGACUGGCAGGUGAAAUGACUUCAUUAGUGCCCU